CCGCGGUGAAAUGCGGAGUUUCUGGCAAACCUGCAAUGAGAAGAAAUCGGAAGCGACCAGCAUUACUUGUUGGGACGACCUACUAUUGGGGAAUGUUUUCCAAAGCAAGGCAGAUUUUCCUUUGGUUGGUUGUUUGAUAAUCCAACUGAGUAUAUUCUAUUUAUCUUGAUUUUUCUCAAAUGUUUUUAGAUCAUUAGAAAUUCUACAAAUAAAACACAGUAUCUUUUACAAUACUUUUUUGGUAAUACUUGAAAGACCCUGGAAGGUGAUGGAGAUUUUAUUAUAUAAGCUUUUAAAAAUGAAGUAAAAAAUCGUAAGGACAAAGCAUAAAGGUAAUUUUUCCUUUCUUCCCAGAUGAGAAGGGUAGCUAAAUAUCCUAACUUCUUGAAUUGGCCAUGACAAGACAUUUAUGUACUAUAAUAGCACUGCCACAGGGAAGUCGGUGCUGAACCGUCAUAGCCCUGUAAUACUGUCAUUCAUUUCCAAGUCUAGUAAGAUUUCAUAACACUUUGUAAAUUUUUAUAAUGGAAAUGCGGAGUUUUGUUAUAAAUGCAAAAAUCCCGUGAUCAGUUGGUCGUUUAAUAGUGAAUGGAAAGAACAGCGUCCUUGUCAUCCGCAGAGAAACUGAGUAGAAUGACAACCUGUUCCUAUGGCUUCUGCCAGACUCACUAGUUAAUCCAUUUAUGCAAGUUGGAAUCCAAAGAAUCAUGUUGACACUUUUCUUCUCCCUUAAUCUCCAUAUGCAAUCCAUCACCAAGUCCUGUCAGUCUUACUUUCUAAUCAUCUAAAUCCAUCCUCUGCCUCUCUCAGGUUAUGUUAUGUUCACCAGACCAACUAACCCACCUAACCCUUUCUCUUCACUGGUGUUGAAUUUUGAGCAUCUACUACUAAUUCAUGUAUUAUUUGAUAUUUAAUUGUAUGCAUGUACUAGUGAAAAAUGGUACAAAUUCUAAUGAAUGAGUUGCAGGCUCUGGAACCAGAUCUCCUGGGUUUGAAUCCUGUCUGAUACUUCCUGGCAGUGACCAUCAGCUCUGCUUAACUUUUCUGUCUUAUUCUUUUCUCCCUGUAAAAUGAGGUUAGUAAGAGUAUCAGCCUCACAGAGAAUGAAGAUUAAAUGAAGAAUGUAUGUGAACAAAUAUAUAGUGUUCAGAUACAUAGUAUGUGCUUAAUAAAAGCUAACUAUAAGUAGUACUUUGGAGCUAACACACUGAAUAUUACAUUUUAAAGAUUUUUUAAAAGAUGAAGAAAAAAUAGAAUUAAAAUAUAACAUCCCACCUUAAAGUAUGCCACUUUGAGAACACUCCUCUACACUGCAGCUGCUGUUAUUUUGAAAAGUAAAUCUGAUAAUGUUAUUAUGCUGUUUAAACCCCUUCAGUGUCUUCCUGUUACUCUGAUGAAAGCCCCCUUUGAACUGUCUACUACCUCUCCAACUUCCUUUCCAAACAUAUUCUGUCACGUGGCCUUGCGGGCCUUUUUAGUAUCUCCUAGGCCUUUGCAUGUUGUUGCCUCUGCCUGUAAUUCUCCACCAAGCCUAGCUUACCCUUUUUGUCUUAUUCCACUAAUUUUCUCUAUUAGAUCCUCUUGUAGUACUAUGUAUAUUCCCCAUAUUACACUCUGAACCAUUUUAAUUAUUUAAUUCAGUCUCCCCAGUAGGCUGUUUCUUGAAGUCAAAAACAAUGUUUUGUUUAUCUUUUUAUCUCCAGAAAUUAACCCAGUGCCUGCCAUUGUCAGUACUCUGGAUAAAAUGAAUGAACUUGGCAUUCCUUGGUGGAUUUCUGUUUUUAAUGUUUCUACCGUCUGUGGAACAUGGAAUCAAACCAGAAUAUGUUGGCAUAACAGGCCAGUCAAACCGGUUCUUCAGUAGAUCCAGAACUCGUCUGACCAGUCUGCAUCAAAGACUAGCUCAACAUGCUGCAGCGGCUCAACUCUGCAAAACUUGUACUGGAAAAUGUCUGGAAGAUUACAAAAGAAAAACAUAUAAAACUGUACUGGGAAAUGUGAUUACAAGCUGAAGAGAGAGGUGUUGUUCGUUUUCAUGGACUCAGAGUAUGCUGGCACUACGGUGAAUUUCUCCUCAUAGGAAGUAACACAAGAUGAUACAUAUGGUCAUCCAAACAGGCAAGAAGUUAGAAGAAAAUGGGUGAGUCUUAACAGUGACUUUUAUCUCAAUAUGUCUGUUCUACCCAGGCCUAGCUUCACUGGUGUGUGACCUGUGCUCAGAAAGGUUCAGGACUAAUGUAAUGAUCUGUUUUAGAAUUUUUAACUAUUUUUUGAUAAUGGGCACCACAUUUUCAUUUUGCACAGUAUUCUAAAUUAUGUGUUUGGCUGUUGCCCUGCCAUAUUUACACUUGUUUGCAGUGACCUAAUAAAUAUGGUCACCAUCAAAAGUAAGGUCUAGGGGCCGGCAUUGUGGUGCAUAGCAGGUAAGCUGUCUGUUCCACCUGUGAUCCAACACCGUGCUAUUGGCCUGAGUAAAGCAGCAGAAGAUGGCCCGAGUGUUUAGGCCCCCAUUUCCCACAUGAGACACCUUGAUGAAACUCCUAGCUCCUGGCUUUGGCCUGGCCCAGCCCUGACCGUUAUAGCCAUCUAGGGAGUGAACCAGCAGAUGGAAGAUCUCUCUAUGUAUCUUUCUGUCUUUUUCUCUAUAUAUCUCUGAUUUUUAAAUAAAUGAAUAAGUCUUAAAAAGUAAGGGUUACUACUAUUAUUAUAGUUAUUAAUAAGUGCUUUGUUGAUAUGGAUCUCUGGAUGAAAGGUUUUGAACUCUCUCAUCAUAUUAAGCAAAUAUAUUUCUCUCAAAUACAGAAAAAUAGCAUCAUCUAUAUUAUUAUUUCUAAUAAAAUAUAACAGGUAAGGAAAGAAAUAAGACCUAAGAUAUACGGUCUUCAGGGUUAUGUUGGAAACACUGAGGCUAACUUUUGGCUCUAAGAGGAAUUGCUCUUCUAUUGUUCCAGGAAAUGAAGCCUUUAAGACCUUGACUCAAAGCUACAGACACAAAGAAAAAAUUUCUUUCUGUGGAAAGUUUUUCUUUGAGAAUAAAAUAAGAAAUCGUAUGUAUCUAUUAUGGCUUGGCAACAGGUAUAUAUAUUACCUAAACAAUAAUAAAAAGAGACUAUUUUCCCUGAAGAAUCUAAAAUCAUUGAGGGGAAUUGAAUCUCUUUGGUUUGAAGAGAAACUUUCCCUACAGGCUGAUACUUGUCUUUAGAAAUGGAAGUAAUUUCUGGUUAAAAAUUAUUUCCUGAAGGAAUAAAUAUCUAAUACCUGACAUAAGGGUGCCUCAGAAUGUCAUUAUUUCCAUUUUUGACAUCCAAUGUACAAAUCAUGUGCCAAUUGGGAGCCUUUCCCCAACAUAGUGAAGAAACAGUCUCUUCAAUUAUGGUUUGCAGGUUAGGCUAACCAGUCCUUGUGGGACAUAACACAUGAUAUAAUAAUAUAAAUAAUAUACAGUUGGGUCCUUUCAAAUAACUUACCCAAUUGUAUGUUCACAAUACACAGAACCUUGCCAUGGCAAGUCAAGAAAUCUUACUACCCAAAGCAGCUGUGGGCUAAAAGAAUGCCAGGGCUUGCAGAGACAGAUAUAUUGGAGGCUUAUAAUGUGUGGGUAGAACUGCAAGACCUCAUGCUGAUGCACAGAUAUCACAUCUAGAAUUAAAUGCAGAGGGCCUUUCAGUACCUUCUUAGCACCUAGAAGGUUACCCUGUACUCCUUUUUUUAGAGCAAAUAUUUCAUAAAGCUAUUCUCUCUUUUUUAAAAUAUUCAUUUAUUUAUUUGAAAGAAUUACAGAAAGAGAGAGAGAGAUUGAUUAUCUUCCAUCCACUGGUUCAUUCCCUAGAUGACUGCAAUGGCCAGGGUUGGGUCAGGCUGAAGCCAGGAGCCAAAAGCUUUUUCCAGGUCUCCCACAUGGAUGCAGAGGCCGAAAUACUUGAACUUCUACUCUACUUUCCCAGGACUUAAACCAGUGCUCAAAUGGGAUGCCAGAAUUGCAAGCAAUGGCUUAACCAGCUAUGCCACAAUGCUGGCUCCAAGCAUGAAAGUCUUAUAAUUCGGGGUGGUGUUGUGGCAUAAUGAGUUAAGUCCUGGUUGCUCCUCUUCAGAUGCAACUCCCUGCUGAUGGCCCUGGGAUGGCUCCUGGCUUCGGCCUGGCCCAGCCCCAGCCGUUGCAACCAUUUGAGGAGUGAACCAGUGGGUGAAAUCUCUCUCUCUCAGCCUUUCAAAUAAAUAAAUAUUAAAAAAAGAAAGUCUUGUAAUUCACUGGGCAUCAGAUGGAAUACUCAGAAAAGAUGCUGUCUCAAUGAUGUGGCAAUUUAACCUAGACUAACAUCUAUUCUGAUCCAACCUAACAAAGCUUAAAUGUGGGGUUGAAAGGAUCAAAUCAUUUUCAAGUAAGUUAAUUGGAUCUCAGAACAGAGUUCAGAAUUAAAUUAUGAAUACAAACAUAUCCAGUAUUCAACAAAAUAAAAUCACAAAGUAUGGCAUUAGCAUUGGACAGUAAAGAUCACCAAGCAUGCAAAGAAUCAGACAAAUAUGACCCAUAAUAAGAAAAGGCAGUUUUAGGAACAGGUAUAUCACACAGCAGAUUAAGCAGCUCAUACCAAAGUGCUUGAGGUAGAGUCCCGCCUCCACUUUCAAAUCCAGCAUCCUUCUAAUGAUCCUGGGAGGCAGCAGAUGACAGCCCAAGUACUUGGGUGACUGUGAUUCUGGUGGGAGUCCUUUAUACAGGUCCUGGUAUGGCCAGCAAGUAGAGGAUCUCUCUUCCUCCGUUUCUCCCUCUGUGUCACUCUGCUUUUCAAAUAAAUAAGUAAAUAAAUCUUUUUUUAAAGACAGUUAUUAGGAACAGACUUAGAAAUUACAAAAGUUAGAAUUAGGUAGAGACAUUGAAAUAGUUAUAACUAUAUAUGUUUAAAAAGGUACUGAAAAUAGUGGCCAUGUCAAGUGGAGACAAUACUAAAAAGACCCAAAUUUGACUGUUAUAACAAAAGAAUGAAUAUCUCUGAGCUGAAACAUGCAUUGGAUGAGAAUAAGGACAGAAUAGGCUCUGUGGUAGAAAAUGUGGGCAAUACUCAUGAGAAAAACAAUGCAGAGUGAAAAACAACACCGGACAGAACAGUAUCCCACCAAAUUCACGGCCACUUGGAACCUCAAAAUGUGACUUUAUUUGGAAAAAGAGUGUUUGCAUAAAUAAUUAGUUAAGAUGAAAUCACACUGAAUUAAGGUGGACUCUACCUCAGUGAUUGGUGUCAUUAUGAAAAGGCCACGUACAGACAUAAGGAUGUGUAGACAUAGAGGCAGAGGUUGGAGUGAUGCAUCUAAGCCAUGGAAUGCCAAGAAUUGCUGACAAUGACCAGAAACUGGAGAGAGGCAUGGGACAAUUUUUUCUCACAAUGUCCAGAGGAAACCCCCCUGUUGAUAGCUUGAUUUGAGUCCUCAUGACUUAAACCUAAACCUUAAAAUUUCCACUCUUCAUACCAUUGCAUUGAAGAUUAUGUUUCCAACUCAUGAAGUUUGGGUGACACAUUCAAACCAAAGUUUAUACACAGAAUCUUGGCAAAGAGUUGCAACUAAUAUAACAGCCAGGAGAUAAAAUGGAAUUGUAAAAGACAAUCCCCCCAAAAUUUUAAGACAGGAAAAGAGGAAAAUACGUACAUAGAAUAGGUGGGCCAGAGGCUGGAGCUGUGGCGUAGCCAAUAAAGCCUCCACCUAGCAGUUGCGGCAUUUCAUAUGGGUGCCGGUUCGAGUCCUGGCUGCUCCACUUCUGAUUGAGCUCUCUGCUAUGGUCUGGGAAAUCAGUAGAAGAUGGCCCAAGUCCUUGGGCCCUUGCACCCACGUGGGAGACCCAGAAGAAGCUCCUGGCUCCUGGCUUUGGAUUGGUGCAGCUCUGGCCAUUGCAGUCAACUGGGGACUGAACCAGCGGAUGGAAGACCUCUCUCUCUGUCUGCCUCUCCUUCUCUCUCUGUGUAACUCUGAUUUUCAAGUAAAAUAAAUAAAUCUUUUAAAAAUAAUAUGAAGAUUAAUGGAGAUAUUGACCAUUUUUUGUUUAAUGCAGAUAUAGUACAUGCCAAUUUUUCCAUGUUGUACUUCUGGAAUUAUUGUGUUCUCUCAAAAAUCAGACCAACUGAAAAAUUGUUCUUCCUAGGUUGGAAUAGAAAUCCUGUUAAGACAUUAUGACUUUAUUCAGGCAGAGUUUUUUGGCUUUGUUUUUUAAGCAAACAAAGCAUAACACAGGAUUCAGUUGAACUCUUAGCCUAUUUUAAAACUUCUGCUCUAUAAGUUUUUUAUUGCUUUGUAACAAAUAGCUACAAAUGUGUUUUCUUAAAAUAAUAUAGUUAUUUUCACAGUUUUUUCCCCAAGAUAUGACCAUUUCAUUACUAUAUUCUAUAUCUGAGAAAACAUAUGCAAUGUGUCUUUUUUAUUUUUUAUUUUAUUUUAAUUAAUUAAUUAAUUAAUUAAUUUUUUUUUGACAGGCAGAGUUAGCCAGUGAGAGAGAGAGACAGAGAGAAAGGUCUUCCUUCUGUUGGUUCACCCCCAAAAUGGCUGCUACGGGCUGGAGCUAUGCCGAUCCAAAGCCAGGAGCUGGGUGCUUCCUCCUGGUUUCCCAUGCAAGUGCAAGGAUCCAAGCACUUGUGCCAUCCUCCACUGCCCUCCCGGGCCACAGCAGAGAGCUGGACUGGAAGAGGACCAACCGAGACAGAAUCUGGCACCCCAAUCGGGACUAGAACCCAGGGUGCCAGUGCCGCAGGCAGAGGAUUAGCCAUGUGAGCCGCAGCACCAGCCUGCAUGUGUCUUUUUGAGACUGGCUUAUUUCACUAAGCAUAAUGGUUUUCAGAUGCAUCUAUUUUGUUGCAAGAAACACGACUUCAUUCUUUUCUAUGGCUGAGCAGUAUUCCAAAGUGUAUAUAUACACCACUUUUUCUUUAUCUAGACAUCAGUUGAUGGACAUCUGGGUUGAUUCCAUAUUUUAGCUAUUUUGAAUUAAGCUGCAAUAAUUAUAGGGGAUACACAUUACCCUUUAAUAUGUUCAUUUUAUAUGGGCAAAUUCCCAGGAGUGGGAUUAUUGGGUUAUAUGGUAGAUCUACUUUCAUACCUCUUCCAUAAUGGUUGUACUACUUUACAUUAUGACAAACAGUGGGUUAGGGUACCUUUUUCCCCACAGCCUCGUCAGUGUUUAUUUUUGAUUUAUGGAUGAUAGCCAACCUAAAUGAGAUGAGGUGACAUGUCAUUGUGGCUUUUAUUUGCAUUUUCCUGAUGGCUAGUGAUCCUGAGCAUUUUUUCAUAUGUCUGUUGGCCAUUUGAAUGUCAUCCCUUAAAAAUUGCCUGUUUGUGUCCUUUGCUCAUUUCAUAACUGGAUUGUUUGUUCUGUUGUGGAAUUUCUUGAGCUCUUUAUAGAUCCUGGAUAUUAAUCCCUUACAUGUUGCAUAGUUUGAAAUAUUUUCUUCCAUUCUAUUGGUUGCCUCUUCACCUUGUUGAGUGUUUCCUUUGCAGUGCAGAAGCUUCUUAGCUUGUUGUAAUCCCAUUUGUCCAUCUUUGUCUUUAUUGCCUGUGCUUCUGGGGUCUUUUCCAAGAAGUCUUUGCCUAUGCCAAUGUCUUAAAUAUUUUCCCUGAAGUUUUAAGCUAAUAGCUUGAUGUUAUCAUGACUUGAUAACAUCUACAAACAGGAAUAAUUUCAUUUCCUAUUUUUCCAUUUGUAUCCCUUUGAUUUCUUUUUCUAGUCUAAUGUCUCUGGCUAAAAUGUUGAGAACUAAUUGAAUAGAAAUGGUGAAAGUAGGUGUCCUUUUCUGCUUCUGGAUCUUAGUGGACAUGCUUUCUUUUUUUUAAAGAUGUAUUUAUUUAUUUGAAAAUCAGAGUUACAGAGAGAAGGAGAAGCAGAAAGAGAGAGGUCUUCCUUCCACUGGUUCACUCCCCAACUGGCCACAAUGGCUGGAGCUGCAUCCAUCUGAAGCCAGAAGCCAGGAGCUUCUUCCAGGUCUCCCACGCUGGCACAGAGUCCAAGGAUUUGGGCCAUAUCCUACUGCUUUCCCAGGCCACAGCAGAGAGCUGGAUCAGAUAUGGAGCAACCAGGACUCAAACCUGUGGGGAGCAACUCGGACUAGACUAAGUUACUGGAAUUAAGACUUAUUCUAUGCAUCUGCUCUCCCACAGUAUGGCGCUGGGAGAGGAGUAAACAACUUUUACACAGCUGCCUCCAGUUCGACCAAUAACCUCCAGGAGCUGAUCCUGCUCCUGAUUGGAGGAGAGCAGCAUGCUCGGCGUGUGGGUAGCAGAGUUGGGAUUGGUGGAAGAGGACUAUAAAGGAGGAGAGAGACAACAUGCACCAGGAACAUCUAAGGGGAACAUCCGGAUAACAUCUGAGCAGCCCCCGAGAGAGCCGGCCGGCGGUGUGCCGCUCCCCCGCGGAAGUGGGGAAAGUGGCAGGGGGAGCCGCCCUUCCACGGAGGUGGAAGGAUCGGCAGCCAACCCGGGAAGAACCAGCAGCAAACCCGGGAAGGGCCGAGCAGACAAAAGAACAGCGCAGGGUCCUGUGUCAUUCCUCCACAAAUGGGGGAGCGACAAAACCAGUGCCCAUAUGGGAUGCCAGCACUGCAGGUGGUGGCUUUACCAACUACACCACAGCGCCAGCCCCAGGAAAUGCUUUAAAUUUUUCCUCAUUCAAUAUGAUACUAGCAGUGGAUUUAUCAUAUAUUGCCUUGAUUAUGUUGAGGAGUGUUUAUUCUAUUCCCAAAUGCUUAAGGUUUUUAUCAUUAGAGGAUGUUGUGUUUUAGUAAAUGCAUUCUCUAAAUCUACUGAGAUAAUCAUAAGGUUUUUAUUCAUUACUUUAUUAAUGUGAUGCACUACAUUUAUUGAUUUGCAUAUGUUGAAUCAUCACGCAUACCAGGGAUAAAUCCUAAUUGGUCUGGGUGAAUGAUCUUUCUGAUAUGUUGUUGGAUUCCAUUAGCUAGUAUUUUGUUCAGAAUUUUGAGUCUGUUCAUCAAGGAUAUUGGUCUAUAAUCCUCUUUCUUUGUUUUAUCUUUUUCUGGUUUUGGAUUUUUUUUAAAAGAUUUAUUUAUUUAUUUAAAAGUCAGAGUUACACAGAAAGAGAAGGAGAGGAAGAGGCACAGAGUGAGUUCUUCCAUCUGCUAGUUUACUCCCCAGUCGGUUGCAAUGACUGGAGCUGUGCCAAUCGGAAGCCAGGAGCCAGGAGCUUCUUCUGGUCUCACACAUGGGUGCAGGGACCUAAGGACUUGGGCCAUCUUCUACUGAUUUCCCAGGCCACAGCACAGAGCUGGAUUGGAUGUGGAGCUGCUGGGACUUUAACUGUUGCUCAUAUGGGAUAUUGGCAUUGCAGGUGGUAGCUCUGCUCACUACACCACAGUGUUGGCCCUUGGUUUUGGUAUUAAGGUGGUUCUGGCCUUAUAGGAGGAGUUUGGGAGGAUUCCCUCUGUUUCAAUUGUUUUGAAUAAUUGGAGAAGAAUUGCAAUUGAUUAUUUUUUAAAAUUUUGUUAAAAUUAAUUACUAAAGCCAUCCAGUCCUAGGCUUUUCUUUGUUGGGAGUGUGUUUAUUACUGAUUCAGUCUAUCUUGGUUAUUGCUCUGUUUAGUUUUUUAGAUCUUCAUGACUCAAUUUUGGUAGGUUGUGUUUGUCCAGGAAUCUAUCCAUUUCUUCUAGAUUUUCCAAUUUUUUGGUAUUUAGCUGUUUGUAGUAAUUCCUGGUGAUUCUUUUUAUUUCUGUUGUUACAUUUCCUUUUUCAACUCUGAUUUUAUUUAUUUGGGUCUUUCCCCCUUUUUUGGUUAGCUGGGCUAGUGGUAUAUCAAUUUUGUUUAUUUUUUCAAAAAACAAGCUCUUAAUUUCAUUGAUUAUUUUUGUAUUUUUUGGUUUAAAUUUUGUUUAUUUCUUCUCUAACUUUAAUUAUUUUUUCUACUACUAAUUUUGGGUUUGGUUUGUUGUUUUUCUAGGGCCUAGGAUGCAUUGGUAGAUACUUUGUGUGAUGCCUUUCCAAUUUCUUGAUGUAGGAAAAUAAUUGCUAUAAACUUCUCUCUUAACACUGCUUUUGCUGUACAUAGGGGUUGUUUUAGAUUUAUUUUAUUUAUUUGAAAUAGUUAAAGAGAGAGAGGUGGAGAGAGAGAGAGAGAGAGAAAAGAGAGAGAGAGAGAGGUCUUCCAUCCACUGGUUCACUCCCCAAAUGGCCACAAUGGCCAGAGCUGAGCUGAUCCAAAGUCAGGAGCCAGGAGCUUCUUCAGGGUCUCCCAUAUAGGUGCAGGGGCCCAAGGACUUGGCCAUCCACUGCUGCUUUUCCAGGCACAUUUGCAGGGAGCUGGAUCCAAAGUGGAGUAGCUGGGACAUGAACUGGUGCCCAUAUGGGAUGCCAACACUGCAGGCCGGGGCUUUAAGCUGCUGUGCCACAGUGCCGACCCCUCCCAUAAGUUUUGAUAUGUUGUGUUGUCAUCUUCAUUCAUUUCCAGGAAUUUUUUGAGUUCCCUUUUGAUUUCUUCUAUGACCCACUGUUGAUUCAGCAGUAUGAUGUCAGUCUUCAUGUGACUGCAUAUUUUCUAGAGUUUCAUAAAUUAUUAAUUUCCAACUUCAUUCCAUGGUGGUCAGAAAAGGUACAAGGUAUAAUUUCAAUGUUUCUGAAUUUGCUAAGACUUGCUUUAUGGCUUCUCAUAUAGACUAUCCUAGAGAAAGUUUCAGGCACUGAUGAGGAGAAUGUAUAUUCCACAACUGUGGGAUGAAAUGUUUUGUAGAUAUCAAUUAUAUCCAUUUGGUCCAUAAGGUAGACUAACUCUGUUUUUUGUUUGUUUGUUUGUUUUUUGCUUCUUUUUUUUUUUUAACUUUUAUUUAAUGAAUAUAAAUUUCCAAAGUACAGCUUAUGGAUUACAAUGGCUUCCCCCCCCAUAACUUCCCUCCCACCUGCAACCCUCCCCUUUCUUGCUCCCUCUCCCCUUCCAUUCACAUCAAGAUUCAUUUUCAAUUCUCUUUAUAUGCAGAAGAUCAGUUUAGUAUAUAUUAAGUAAGGAUUUCAAUAGUUUGCACCCACAUAGAAACACAAAGUAAAAAAUACUGUUUGAGUACUAGUUAUAGCACUAAAUCACAAUGUACAGCACAUUAAGGACAGAGAUCCCUCAUGAGGAGUAAGUGCACAGUGACUCCUGUUGUUGACUUAACAAUUGACACUCUUGUUUAUGGCAUCAGUAAUCACCUUAGGCUCUUGUCAUGAGUUGCCAAGGCUAUGGAAGCCUUUUGAGUUUGCUGACUCUGAUCAUAUUUAGACAAGGUCAUAGUCAAAGUGGAAGUUCUCUCCUCCCUUCAGAGAAAGGUACCUCCUUCUUUGAUGACCUGUUCUUUCCACUGGGAUCUCACUCACAGAGAUCUUUCAUUUAGGUCAUUUUUUUUUUUGCCAGAGUGUCUUGGCUUUCCAUGCCUGAAAUACUCUCAUGGGCUUUUCAGCCGGAUCCGCAUGCAUUAAGGGCUGAUUCUGAGGCCAGAGUGCUGUUUAGGACAUCCGCCAUUCUAUGUAACUCUGUUUUUUUUUUGUUGUUGUUGUUGAUUUUCUGUUUAAUUGAUCUGUCCCUUGAUGAAAGUGGGGUUUGAAGUCCCUCAUUAUUGCAUUGGAGUCAGC